UGAAACCAAGAUGACAAAAAUAUAUAUUUAUACGUUUCUCUGACAAAUACCUACCUUAUCACUAAAGUACAGUAUUUAUCUAAUUUUUACUUAAAAACUUUUUAUGUCUGCCAUGUGAACAGCUUCUGAGAGAAGAGAAAGUAACAGAGUUAUAUGAAUGUAAGCAGUAGGCGGGGGGGAUUAUGUUGACGGAAGUAGACGUGGAUUUGAUGAUGAGCUCAGAGGCAAACCUGCAAUGUAAACUAACAUAUCUGUCUCGUUUAGACGUCAAAGAUGCUGAUUACAUGAUGCCGAUGAGUUACUUAUAAACUUGGACUGAUAAUUUUUUGGGCGUGUUGCUGUUUUACUUAUCUGACCUCAGAAUUCUAGCUGUCAACUGCCGUUCGUUGAUUCAGUGUAUAUAUAUAUAUAUAUAUACUCGCGAUUACCUUUAAUGUUCUCUACAGCAAUGAGGUCUAUAGCUGCAUCUGAAGUACAGUUUAACGAUCAGUUAACCUUGAAGAAACUUGUUCAGUUUAUGACAGCAUCACAAUGGAUAUACUACAUAAAAGUUGUGAACUUUGGUGACAGGAAACAGUAUGAAUUUAAUGCAGAUUGCAGAUAGACAUAUAGUAUUUUUUAUAUUGUAUAGUAGUUAUUAAGUAGUUAUAGAUCGAAUUAGUACAUGGAGAAGAUGUCUCCUAUUCCUGCUCUUCCUCUUAUCAUCAACUGUUGUAUGUCUGCACUGGGUUGCAUUGCUACAGUCAAGUUUAUUCCAGCUUUUAAGGAUCAUUUCAUAUCUGCAUGCCUCUAUGGAAUGGACCUCAAUAAAACGACAAAGAAAUAGAUGCCAGAGUCACAAGGUGUAAUCAGCGGCACAGUAUUCCUCAUCAUCCUCUUCCUCUUCAUCCCUGUCCCCUUCCUCAGUUGCUUCAUGGAGAGCAAUGUAAAAGGUUCCCUCACAACGAGGUGAGCACUGAAUCCAGCAACAACACUUGAAUGUGCCUUUACAAUAAACAAAAACUCAAAAAUUUUUAUCAGAACUUUAAGUCAGUUUUAACUAAAUGCACCUCAACCUCAAAAGUUAUUCAUUAAUAGGAUUUUCUUUUUGUGGUGUAACUGUUAAAGUGCUAUUCCUUGCUAUAGAAGGAUGGUCAACUACUUCCACUCCUGGAGCUCUAAUAUGUCAUCUUAGGCCUCUGGACUUUGUUUUGUUUUUUUGUUCUUGCUUAUAAUUAAUGUAGUUUGUGCAACUGAUUGGUGCAUUGUUGGCUAUCUGCUGCAUGAUUUUCUUGGGUUUUGCGGAUGAUGUGCUUAAGCUUAAGGCACAAGCUACUGCUGCCUGCUAUGGCCUCCAUGCCUCUCCUCAUGGUCUGCUUCACUAACUUUGGCAACACGGUCAUUGUCGUGCCCAAACCUUUCCGUGUCCUGCUGGGGAUGCAUCUGGACUUGGGUGAGUUUGACAGUUUGAAAAUCUGCUAAAAGGCCUGGUGCUGUUUGUGACUUGACACAUUGGUGGGUUUGAUUUUUUGCCCUCUAGUUGGAAAUGUAUGGUAUAUUUGUGAUAUUCUAAACAUUUACUUGUAUAUUGUGUUUCAGGCAUUCUUUAUUAUGUGUACAUGGGAAUGCUGGCUGUGUUCUGCUCGAAUACCAUCAACAUCUUGGUGGGUAUCAAUGGCACUGAGCCAGGGCAGGCUCUCUUUAUAUCUGGCUCCAUCAUUCUUUUCAAUUUACUGGAGCUUAAUGGUGAGAUAAAAGAACAUUUUCAUGUAAUGGCGCAUUUGCUAUUUUAUUGUUUUUCUUUUUCACGUUAAAUCCAAAUCUCUUUUAUGGCUUCCAGAAAAGAUCACUGUCUAGAGACAAAAAGUGACAGGAAACUAAUCUUAACGGUAUAGUCAACUAAAAAAUGAAAAUUCUCUCAUCAUUUACUCACCCUCAUGCCAUACCAGAUGUGUAUGACUUUCUUUCAUCUGCUGAACACAAGCCAAGUCAAGUCAUUUUUAUUUGUAUAGCGCUUUUCACAACACACAUCGUUUCAAAGCAGCUUUACAGAAAAUCAUGCUUUAACAGAAAAUGAAACUGUAAUAUCUAUAAAGUCUUAGAAUCAUCAUUGUGUAAUUGUAAAUUGUGUAUAAAAAUAAAUAAUUAAAUAGUUAAAUAAUAAUUUUAUUUAGAAACCCAGUGUGCAAUCCGAAGGCGACUGUGACGAGGAGGAUGGCGUGCCCGGGCUGUGAUGGAGCACAGCCGGCACUGAAUCAGCUGAUCAGCGGGAGAGUGAGAUAAAGGGCAGCCGGAGAUGCUUGUUCGAGAGAGAGAGAGAGACGCACGUGGCCACGUUGCAUAUGUUGGUGCCUAAACCUGGAAGGGAUGAGGGAUGCGCUGUUGCAGAGUCCUCACUACUGCCAUCUGGCAGGGGAGCAGCCGCGGCCGUCUGACUAGGGACGGAGGGGUCACUGCCAGCCGCCGAGAGCUGGAGGAAUCGCUGUUAUCUGCAGAGAAGGGGAGGAGCGGUUCUGGCCGCUAGGGGCCGGAUGACUCACCGCCGAGAGCUGGAGGAACUGCGGCCAUCUGCCGAGAAGGGGAGGAGUGGUUCCGUCUGCCAGGGGCCGGAGGAGCGAGCUGACGUCCGCCAGAGGGCGGAGGAGCGGUUGAGGACCAGGCGACAGCGCGUGCGGGAGCCGGUGAGCAAGUUUUCUCUCUCUCUCUCUCUCUCUCUCUCUCUCUCUCUCUCUCUCUCUCUCUCUGUGUGUGUCUCCGCUCGCCUUUUCCCUCUCCCCACGCCUCCCCUCGUCUCUCCCCCAGGUUUGCAGGAGGCGGGGUGGACCACCGGCUGACAGAACAGUCGGAAGGGCAGCGUCUCCCCUCCAGAGAUGGGGGGGAGGGGGGGUUAAUCAGACCGGUGGCACCCCGGCCUGAAUCGGAUGGGGGAGGAGUGUGACAAGGAGGAGGGCGUGGCCGGGCCGUGAUGGAGCACGGUCAGCGCUGAAUAAGCUGAUCAGCGGGAGAGUGAGAUAAAGGGCAGCCGGAGAUGCCAGUUCGAGAGAGAAAGAUGCACACGGUCCUUUGUUCUCCAACAUAAGAACUGUGCAUAUGUGUCUGUUUAUGUUUCUUUUAAGUUGAGUUUCUCAUUAAAGUUUACGUUGACUGUUCUGCCGAUUCCCGCCUCCUCCUUGCCCGUCCUUUAUACAGCGACUGUGGCAAGGAACACAAAACUCCAUAAGAUGCUGGUCAAUAGAGAUGCACUGAUCCGAUACCUGGAUUGGUAUUGGCUCCGAUACUGACGUUUUUAGACAGAUCAGGUAUCGGUCCGACGAGCCCGAUCCAAAUCUGAUACUGUGUGUUAGUCAUAUUCGUUACUGUCAAGUUCCAAAACUGAAAAAAUAACCAUAAAAGCACCAUUAAAGUAGUCCAUAUGAAUCGUGCAUUUUAUUCAAAGCCACUUGAAGACAUACGAUAGCUCUGUGAAUCGCAAAAGGCUGUCUAAUAAGUUAUUACGCAGCGCGUUAUUGAAUGGCGCUGCUCUGUUGACACAAAUAUAAGCACGCGUAGGCACAUAUUUUCAUAUGUGAGUGUUACUCCCAAACAACAUCUCAGGUGUAGAUGCUCAAUAGUUUGGUUCACUUAUAAUAUGCAUUUAGAAUGGCACCAGAGGAGCAUUUUACCAGAAUUUGAAUAAGAUGCUAAUUAAACCACUGUGAAUCCUACAUACAGACAUAAAAAUUUUCUGGAGUGUUCCGAUCGUCAAAAUAAAGCCAGAUGGCUUUCAAGUUAAAGGUGCAUGACUGAAAUAUAUUAGUUGUAUUUUAAAAUUCUGUUGUAUUAUUAUUAUUUAAUUUCAAAUUAUAACAAUAUUUAAGUUGAAUGGGUUCUAAAAAAUAACUGUGAAUGAAAAGUGGACUAACAUCUUACAUCUUAAUUGAACAAAAAAGAUAUCUGAAUCCUUUAAGUUCCAGAUACAAGUAAAAAAAAAUGCAAAGAAACCUGGCUUCUUUUCUACUAAAGACUUAGACUGGAAUUGCUGUUAAUUGUAAAAAUAAAGUUUUUCUUAAUAAGCUAUACAUGUAUAUUGAAAUAAUGUGUAGUUAGAGGUUUGUGUUUUUUUAUAUAUAUAAAAGAGUACUCCCAAUUGUGGUGAACAUCAGUUAAUUCCAGGGGCCAGUUUAUGGCAGGGCCCCUCUCUAACUGUCGGUGUGGAAGAAGAUGUACCUCACUGUGAUUGGAUCCUUGGUGAAUGAACAUAAACAAAUGUUCAGCAACAUCAGAUAAGAUGCUAAGACAACUGCCAGACACCUCUUACAGGGCAGAAAGGGGGACCUUCUGCCCCACCAAACUCAUUUCUAAGUUUUAGGCAAGAACUGCCAUAAAUUCCUUCAGGACCGCACAGAUGCAGAAGCAGUGAUCUAUUCUAUAGGUUUGGAGGCCUUAAAUUAAUAUAAACUGCAACACAACUACUCCAUCUUCAUGCAAAGCACAGUUUAUGUUAAUGGUUAUUGACUGUUAACACAACAGUUCACAGGACAGACCUAUUAACAGAUAAACGAAUGCACGGACGAUGACUUAACUGUUUCUUAUCGUGUUUGGUCUCUGUCUAUUCCAUACGGUGCCUUUAAUAAUUUGAAAGAGGUUUGGUAAAGAAAUAAUGCAUGGGUAAAACGUUAAAGACACUGUUUUAACACUGUACUUUAUGCUAUGCAAAUGAGUUCCAUACUAGGGUGGGCAACACCGUGGCUACUUCAGACACCAGUGGCCAAUCAUACUCCAGGAUCGGAAAGGCGCCAGAUUUCAGUCUCCUCCUCAUCAGAAAGGGAUAAAUAUGUCCCCCGGAUAGACACACCCUUGUCCUGUGUUUCCAACUCGACGGGGAAGGAGACAUUAGCAGACACACCAUGUCCUGAGUUUCUGACCUGACGAGGAAAGAGGCUACAAAAUAGCUGAGGUUAAGCUUUUGCGAGCAAAACCUUUUAUAUUGCUUUAUUGCUAUAUUGCUGCCCUCUAGCUGAAAAAGGGCCCCAGCAUUGAGGGACCUUAUCUGACCCUUACGGCCCCUCCAGCAACGCAGCCCAGUCCACAGAGGACCUCUACAUCAGCAGAUAUUGCCUGUCCCACACAGCUCCUCAGUGCCGCAGCCAGCCUGCAAAGAACCCUGUGAAGAUUCAACUGACCCAGCUGCCCAGUCUGAAGUUCAGCAUCCUCCAGCUCAGCGUGGCAAUGACUACUGGAUCGCAACUCUUCCAAUUGCACGCUACCUGCAUCGCCAGUGGAAGACAUCUCUAUUGCCGGACUGAUCACCUGACUGUGUGGCACGUAUAAACUUACCAAACCUCUUUCUAGAGACCUUGGCAUUACCUGCAGCAUAUGUUUUUCUAACGUGCUUAGAUAACAGUUACCUGGCGUCAGCUUGUUACAAAUAAUAGGUAUAUUAUUUGUUUAAUGAUAAAUAAGCAUUAUUUAUCACCAUUUUGCCAGAGCAAUUAGGUGGUUUCCCAUAAGGAGCAUUCCAAUACAAUUCUCUCCCAUUGCUACAUUCAGUUCAACAGCAGUGCAUUUAUCCACUCUGUGUUCAAACCAUUUAUUUGUUUUAUUGUUUAAUUCAGUAUUUUCCUUUUUGGUUAUUAGUUUAUUAUCCUUUAGCAGUGCAUAUUCGUUAUUAGCAUUAUUAAUCAUUGUGGUAUUUACUCUUGCAUAUCUAUUGUUAAUAAAUUUCAUUAAUUUUA